CUUCUUUAAGUAACGGCGAGUGAACGGAGAUUAGCCCAGCACCGAAGCCUAUCCUUAUUUGCGGACAGGGCAAUGUGGUGUUUAGAUGCUAGCCUGGGGAUACUAUUCCACUUGAAGUCCAGCUCCGAUCAUGGCUUGGAUUUGUCCCAUAGAGGGUGAAAGGCCCGUACGAGUGGAAAUUAUGCAUUGUAGUAUCCCUUAGAUGCUGGUGUCUUGGAGUCGGAUUGCUUGAGAAUGCACUCCAAAGCGGGUGGUAAACUCCAUCCAAGGCUAAAUACUGGCACGAGUCCGAUAGUAGACAAGUACCGGGAGGGAAAGUUGAAAAGUACUCUGAAGAGAGGGGAGGGCCCC
rnacentral:rRNA from 1 species